rnacentral:misc_RNA from 1 species
GAUGAAGAACGUAGCGAAAUGCGAUACGUAAUGUGAAUUGCAGAUUUCAGUGAAUCAUCGAAUCUUUGAACGCACAUUGCGCCCGCCAGUAUUCUGGCGGGCAUGCCUGUUCGAGCGUCAUUUCAACCAUCAAGCGCCUCGCUUGUGUUGGGGCCCUGCGGCUGCCGCAGGCCCCUAAAUCCAGUGGCGGGCUCGUCGUCGUACCGAGUGCAGUAAACAUCCUCGCUCAGGGAACCCGACGGGUGCCGGCCGUGAAACCCCCCCUCCUCAAGGUUGACCUCGGAUCAGGUAGGAAUACCCGCUGAACUUAAGCUUAUCAAUAAGCGGAGGA